rnacentral:rRNA from 1 species
CAGUAGCCGCGGUAAUACGUAGUGUGCGAGCGUUAAUCGGAAUUACUGGGCGUAAAGCGUGCGUAGGUGGUGGUUUAAGUCCGUUGUGAAAUCCCCGGGCUUAACCUGGGAACUGCAUUUGUGACUGGCAAGCUAGAGUGUGGCAGAGGGGGGUGGAAUUCCGCGUGUAGCAGUGAAAUGCGUAGAGAUCGGAAGGAACAUCUGUGGCGAAGGCGACUAUCUGGGCCAACACUGACACUGAGGCACGAAAGCGUGGGGAGCAAACAGGAUUAGAUACCCGCGUAGUCCCUGUCUCUUAUAC